GAUGCAUAGCCCGAGUUGAGAGACUGAUCGGGCCACAUUGGGGACUGAGGACACGGGGCCCAAAACUCCUACGGGGGGAGGGGCAGCAGGUAGGGGGAAUCUUCCACAAUGGACGCAAGUCUGAUGGAGCAACGCCGCGUGAGUGAAGAAGGUUUUCGGAUCGUAAAGCUCUGUUGUUGGUAAAGAAGGAUAGAGGUAGUAACUGGCCUUUAUUUGACGGUAAUCAACCAGAAAGUCACGGCUAACUACGUGCCAGCAGCCGCGGUAAU
rnacentral:rRNA from 1 species